rnacentral:ribozyme from 16 species
UAAUGGAAUACCAGAGCAGAGGGAUUGAACCAAUACGUUCAUUGGCGCCGACAAGAUUUGUAUCAAUCAUGUGCUUCAGCACUCCUUCUAGACCAAAAGAAAUGACUUGUCUGGGAUCACUGAAGAUCAUAUUCACUUCCGGUUCAAACCUUAGGACGACGGAGAAGGCUGUCGUUCGCCUUGCUGCUGUGAGCCCCAAUGGUUCAUAAAUAAUAUAUAUAUAAUUAUAUGUUAU